rnacentral:misc_RNA from 1 species
GGGAUUCUAUUUAGCAUUUGUCUUGAUAUUGUUCAGUAGGAAAGAUGAGUGACAACUUGAUGGAUAAAGUUAAUGCCUUGGGUGAACGCUUAAAGAUUAGUGGGACAGAGAUGAGCCGAAAGAUGAGUGCAGGUGUCAGCUCUAUGAGUUUUAAAAUGAAGGAACUCUUUCAAGGUCCAAACCAGGGUGAUAAGCUUGCUGAGGAUGCCACAUCAGAGACUCUGGAAGAGCCGGAUUGGGCCCUGAAUCUUGAAAUAUGUGACAUGGUUAAUUCUGAGAAAAUCAACAGCAUUGACUUGAUUCGCGGGGUUAAAAAACGUUUAAUGUUGAAAAAUCCCAGGAUCCAGUAUUUGGCAUUGGUGCUGCUUGAGACAUGUGUUAAAAAUUGUGAGAAGUCUUUCUCCGAGGUGGCAGCUGAGAGAGUUCUUGAUGAGAUGGUGAAGUUAAUUGAUGAUCCACAAACUGUUGUUAAUAAUCGGAACAAGGCUUUAAUGUUGAUUGAAGCAUGGGGAGAAUCAACUAGCGAGCUUCGAUAUUUGCCUGUUUACGAAGAAACAUACAAGAGUUUAAAAUCAAGAGGCAUUCGGUUCCCUGGUCGGGACAAUGAGAGUCUUGCACCCAUUUUCACC